rnacentral:rRNA from 1 species
GAUGAACGCUAGCGGGAGGCCUAACACAUGCAAGCCGAGCGGUAUUGUUUCUUCGGAAAUGAGAGAGCGGCGUACGGGUGCGUAACACGUGUGCAACCUGCCUUUAUCUGGGGGAUAGCCUUUCGAAAGGAAGAUUAAUACUCCAUAAUAUAUUGAACGGCAUCGUUUAAUAUUGAAAGCUCCGGCGGAUAGAGAUGGGCACGCGCAAGAUUAGCUAGUUGGUGAGGUAACGGCUCACCAAGGCGAUGAUCUUUAGGGGGCCUGAGAGGGUGAUCCCCCACACUGGUACUGAGACACGGACCAGACUCCUACGGGAGGCAGCAGUGAGGAAUAUUGGUCAAUGGGUGCAAGCCUGAACCAGCCAUCCCGCGUGAAGGACGACUGCCCUAUGGGUUGUAAACUUCUUUUGAAUAGGGAUAAACCUACCCUCGAGAGGGUAGCUGAAGGUACUAUACGAAUAAGCACCGGCUAACUCCGUG